AAGUCGAGCGGAACGAGUUAUCUGAACCUUCGGGGAACGAUAACGGCGUCGAGCGGCGGACGGGUGAGUAAUGCCUAGGAAAUUGCCCUGAUGUGGGGGAUAACCAUUGGAAACGAUGGCUAAUACCGCAUAAUACCUACGGGUCAAAGAGGGGGACCUUCGGGCCUCUCGCGUCAGGAUAUGCCUAGGUGGGAUUAGCUAGUUGGUGAGGUAAUGGCUCACCAAGGCGACGAUCCCUAGCUGGUCUGAGAGGAUGAUCAGCCACACUGGAACUGAGACACGGUCCAGACUCCUACGGGAGGCAGCAGUGGGGAAUAUUGCACAAUGGGCGCAAGCCUGAUGCAGCCAUGCCGCGUGUGUGAAGAAGGCCUUCGGGUUGUAAAGCACUUUCAGUCGUGAGGAAGGUAGUAUAGUUAAUAGCUGUAUUAUUUGACGUUAGCGACAGAAGAAGCACCGGCUAACUCCGUGCCAGCAGC
rnacentral:rRNA from 1 species